UACAGAGGGGGCAAGCGUUGUUCGGAAUUACUGGGCGUAAAGGGCUCGUAGGCGGCCAACUAAGUCACACGUGAAAUCCCCAGGCUUAACCUGGGAACUGCGUGUGAUACUGGAUGGCUUGAAUUCGGGAGAGGGAUGCAGAAUUCCAGGUGUAGCGGUGAAAUGCGUAGAUAUCUGGAGGAACAUCGGUGGCGAAGGCGGCAUCCUGGACCGGUAUUGACGCUGAGGCGCGAAAGCCAGGGGAGCAA
rnacentral:rRNA from 1 species